ACUCCUACGGGAGGCAGCAGUGGGGAAUAUUGCACAAUGGGGGAAACCCUGAUGCAGCCAUGCCGCGUGUGUGAAGAAGGCCUUCGGGUUGUAAAGCACUUUCAGUAGGGAGGAAGGUAGUGUAGUUAACACCUGCACCUAUUUGACGUUACCUACAGAAGAAGCACCGGCUAACUCCGUGCCAGCAGCCGCGGUAAUACGGAGGGUGCGAGCGUUAAUCGGAAUUACUGGGCGUAAAGCGCAUGCAGGCGGCCUGUUAAGUCAGAUGUGAAAGCCCGGGGCUUAACCUCGGAAUUGCAUUUGAAACUGGCAGGCUAGAGUCUUGUAGAGGGGGGUAGAAUUUCAGGUGUAGCGGUGAAAUGCGUAGAGAUCUGAAGGAAUACCAGUGGCGAAGGCGGCCCCCUGGACAAAGACUGACGCUCAGAUGCGAAAGCU
rnacentral:rRNA from 1 species